rnacentral:rRNA from 1 species
GACUAACGCUGGCGGCGUGCCUAACACAUGCAAGUCGAACGAAGCAGCAAUGCUUAGUGGCAGACGGGUGAGUAACGCGUAGAUAAUGUGCCCUCUUGCGGGGGAUACCGUUUCGAAAGGAACGUUAAUACCGCAUAAAGUCCUUAGAAGGCAUCUUUUAGGGACCAAACUUCCGGGGCGGGAGGAGCAAUCUGCGUACUAUCAGCUAGUUGGUGAGGUAAUGGCUCACCAAGGCUACGACGGUUAACUGGUCUGAGAGGAUGAUCAGUCACACUGGAACUGAGACACGGUCCAGACUCCUACGGGAGGCAGCAGUGAGGAAUAUUGCACAAUGGGCGAAAGCCUGAUGCAGCGACGCCGCGUGGAGGAUGAAGGAUUUCGGUCUGUAAACUCCUGUCAGUAGGG